UACGGAGGGUGCGAGCGUUGUCCGGAAUCAUUGGGCGUAAAGGGCGCGUAGGUGGCUUCUUAAGCGUGCGGUGAAAGCCUGGGGCUCAACCCCGGGUCGGCCGUGCGAACUGGGGGGCUGGAGCACUGUAGAGGCAGGCGGAAUUCCGGGUGUAGCGGUGGAAUGCGCAGAGAUCCGGAAGAACACCGGUGGCGAAGGCGGCCUGCUGGGCAGUUGCUGACACUGAGGCGCGACAGCGUGGGGAGCAAACAGG
rnacentral:rRNA from 1 species